UGUGGUAGAUUUUUCUUUCAUUAUAAAAUAUUUAAGAUACAGACCUAACGACAAAGUGAGGAGUUCAAAAAGUAGAGAAUUUUUAUCGUUUCUAUAAUUUACAAGGAUGCAGCACUAUAUUUCAUACGUUAUAUUGCUCAUUCUCUUGCUCGUUGCAAAGCCUGUUGCAGCUGAAGACAACGAUGUGUUGAUAAUCAUUGUCAUGGCCGUUGUAGUAUUAUCAAUUGCUUUUAUACUUCUCCUUUUUUCAAUUUGUGGAAUUUACACCUUGAAAAAGAGAGGCGGCAAAACUCAAAAUUGAUACCCAAAACCAAGAACUAUAUUAGUUAUUAUUAAGAUGCACUUAGUUUAAGUUUUCUGUGUUGUGUCAAGUAAAAUUAUUUUUGCAAUUAUCUGUUGUUUAUUGUACUGCUGAUGUAGAGAUUAAUUAACUUAGCCAAAAUGCCAUGUAUAAAAAAAAAACACAAAAGAUUAAUAGUUACUUGCUGAAAAGCUUGCUGUCACAGGAAGCUGAACUAAGUAUAUCAUAGCGACUUUAUUAGAUAUGAAUCUUAAAUUCAUCAAUUUAUGGAAAUAAUUUGAUAUCUUGAUAUAUACCACACGCAUACAAGAUAUUUUUCCUCUUCAAGAUAAUUAUUGUAGAAUAUAACUUUAUAUAGCCGUCAAUGUUGUAGUUUUAUAGCUAUUGUUUUUCAAAACACUGCUUAAAAAUAAAUAUUUAAAAUAAAAUAAGCAUAAUGACAAAGCAAUAAAAGUCUAUGACAUUGUUUUGACACAA